ACGGGUGAGUAAUGUCUGGGAAACUGCCUGAUGGAGGGGGAUAACUACUGGAAACGGUAGCUAAUACCGCAUAACGUCGCAAGACCAAAGAGGGGGACCUUCGGGCCUCUUGCCAUCAGAUGUGCCCAGAUGGGAUUAGCUAGUAGGCGGGGUAACGGCCCACCCAGGCGACGAUCCCUAGCUGGUCUGAGAGGAUGACCAGCCACACUGGAACUGAGACACGGUCCAGACUCCUACGGGAGGCAGCAGUGGGGAAUAUUGCACAAUGGGCGCAAGCCUGAUGCAGCCAUGCCGCGUGUGUGAAGAAGGCCUUCGGGUUGUAAAGCACUUUCAGCGGGGAGGAAGGCAGUACGGUUAAUGACCGUGCUGAUUGACGUUACCCGCAGAAGAAGCACCGGCUAACUCCGUGCCAGCAGCCGCGGUAAUACGGAGGGUGCAAGCGUUAAUCGGAAUUACUGGGCGUAAAGCGCACGCAGGCGGUCUGUCAAGUCGGAUGUGAAAUCCCCGGGCUCAACCUGGGAACUGCAUUCGAAACUGGCAGGCUGGAGUCUCGUAGAGGGAGGUAGAAUUCCAGGUGUAGC
rnacentral:rRNA from 1 species